UCAGACGUGGUGUAAAAUUGGUAACACGGCUUCGGUCAGUGGAAAAUCAGAGCAAAACUAAUGAAGCAGUUCGGGGUUCGAGUCCCCGCGUCUGAA